UUCGCAAUGCCCGAAAGGGUGACGAAGCGACGCCGCGUGGGUGAGGAAGGCCUUCGGGUUGUAAAGCCCUGUCAGGAGUUAAGAAAUGUAGGUGCGCUAAUAUCGUGCCUAUUUGACAAAGGCUCCAAAGGAAGCCACGGCUAACUCUGUGCCAGCAGCCGCGGUAAUACAGAGGUGGCAAGCGUUGUUCGGAAUUAUUGGGCGUAAAGAGCACGUAGGUGGAUUUGUAAGUCAGAUGUGAAAGCCUUCUGUUCAACGGGAGAAUUGCAUCUGAAACUACAAACCUUGAGUAUAGGAGGGGAGAAUGGAACUUCUGGUGGAGCGGUGAAAUGCGUAGAUAUCAGAAGGAACGCCGGCGGCGAAAGCGAUUCUCUGGCCUAUUACUGACACUCAGUGUGCGAAAGCUAGGGGAGCAAACGGGAGUAGAUACCCCGGUAGUCCUAGCCGUAAACGAUGGGCACUAAGUAGAGGGGUUUUA
rnacentral:rRNA from 1 species